AGAAGCAGAGGUUGAGAGCGGUUUUCCUUUCCUUGGAUUUCUCCCCAUGUCGCCGGUCAAACCCACUCUUCUUCUCUUUCUCUGCUCAAAAACAAUUCAUAGUUUUCCCAAUUUCUAUUUCGGUUCCCAAGCACUGGAGCAUAUUCAAAAAUCCGCUCAUCUUACAAUCCUUUGGAGUGGUUUGGUGGAUUGGUGUUCAGAUUUCCUCUCGCCGCAUUUUUGACUAGGUUAUUUCAAUCGAAAUCGACGGCGACGGUGGACUUGAAACCGAUGAUAAUUAGGGUUUAAUUGUUGAGUUAAGUGAAAUCCCAGGUUAUAUCUUCGUCAAGAUGGUGAUUCGAACAUCCAGUGAAAAGGGGUUAGGGUGAAAUGCAAGUCCACUGAAGGGCAGGUUCAAAUGCACUUGACCACAUUAGAAUCUUAUGAAGCCGAGCCGUGUUGGAAAAAAGGUGGUGAAGUCUAUAGACUUUUUUGAUGUUGGAGGCCAAAGAAACGAACGGAAGGAACCAGACGAGGGGAAUUUAUUUAUCUGAAAGGCGUUAGAGCUGUCAUAUAUUGUGUUGCUAUAAUAUAUUCUUAUGUUCCUCAUAAUCUCAACUACUUUCUAGGCUAAUCUUAACCAUUCAAAGUCCCUAACUUUUAAUCAUGACCCUUUAAAAUCAAACUUUUCUUCCAGAAGCAGCAGUUAGUAGCAGUUCCACCCUCUCCCUCCUCAAAACUGCAGUUGUCGUCUCCCCCUUUUUUUCCUCCCCGUGUCGCCUACCUCCAUAUAUAACCUAUCAUGAAAUUGAAGACGAUGAUGAGUCCAGAGAUGUAUACAUAUUUUCUUUUAGAUUUCUCCUAAGGUAGCUUUCAGAUUCUGCAUAAAUUCUUUCAUUAGUUAAUUUUUAAUUAGUGUUGUUAUACGAAUUCUGCUGCUUGUCCGUUGCUGCUCGAUUUCGUCGUUUUAUAUCUCAAUCACAACAAAGGAAACCGUUGCACCAACAAUCGAAGUAUUGGAGCAGCAUUUAUUAAUAUUUGUUUGUUGUGUCGCCGCAACCACCGAUCGGGUUGCAUAGACCAAGCUAGCAUUGGAAUUGCAGAAAAAUGGGGCCGGCUCGAGAUAUUGGCUGAGCCAGGGAUCAAUUUCUUCGACCCUUGGGCCGGGGGAACCGAUUGAAAGCCGUAGGAAAUUGAAGGGUUCUCGUCGGGUUUGAUCUUAAAAUCUAGUGCUGCUGAUUAUUGAAGGUACACUGCUUUUGCCCUAAUUUUACCCCAAUUUUGUUGAUUAGUUGACUUAAAUCGGUUCUUAUUUGAUGAUUUGGAGUGUUUAGUUUAAGGGAUUUGUGUUGUUUAAAUGAUUUUGAUGGGAAUAGAGGAUGUAAGUUCUGAAUUGUUAUAGCUUGAUUAUUUUGAAAUGUAUAUUUUUAAGGUUUUCAUUAUGUGAACGAACAUGUUGAUGUCCAAGAACUGACUGAUGGCCACUCGUCUGAUGGUGUAAUUUGUGUUUGUGACCAGGUAUGAUCCGGAUCGGCUAACCCGACCCGGUUAUCACCUAUUAUUUUAUUAUAAGUAUUCAAUUACACAUGUUUAUUCCAGAAUGUUUUAUUCUGUAUGGAUAAACCACGUAACCAAGUCCCCAACUUUUUGGGAAGAUCAUGCAAAUCCCUAGCUUAUCCGAGCUCAUCCUAAAUUAGGGGAAACCCUAAUGGUAAACUAUAAAUAGAGGUAAACAUCAAAGGUACGAAUCAUCUUACUCUCGUUUACUCUCUCUCUACAUCAAUACUUUCUUUCUCCCAAACCGAGACUUAUUCUCACGCCGGAGGGUGGUUACAGGAAUAACCCUAUUCCUGUUACGAGUCCUAAUGGUGUUCUGUUUUGCAGUCAGCUGUUCAGAUCGCCAAAGAGUUGAAGUCCUAGCCGGAGCUUACCCAUAAGGUCAGUGUU
rnacentral:lncRNA from 1 species